rnacentral:tRNA from 1 species
UGCAGGGUCGGAUAACUGGCAAUCCAACGGACUGUUAAUCCGUACGAUGAGGGUUCGAAUCCCUCCCCUGCAGCCA